UGCUCUGGUGACCUAGUGGUUAGAGCAUCCACCUUGGAUGAGGGAGGUCGUGGGUUCAAUCCCUGGUUGAGUAA